AUCAGCCCUUAUCUCGUGGUUCACAUUAUUUUACCAUUGGGACAACAAGGAACUUCCUCACAAAGUCUAGACACAAAGGAGGGUUACAAGUAUUAACUGAUUUAGAACACACAUAUAGACAUACUACAUAUUAUAUGCCAGAUGUGUAGUUACAUAUCUGGGUAUGUCAUAUAUUAGGAGAGCCAGGCUACAUAUCUGAGUAAGUCAUAUAUUAGGACAGCCAAGCUACAUAUCUGACACAGUUUCAUGAUAAGCGACUCUCUGUACGUAGCAUGCUAUCAAUGUAUUAAUAUUUUUCAUUGUUGGUUUUGUGUGUUACGGAUAUCUUUGAUCCUCUAGAUGUAGAUAAUGAACAUACUGAAUCCCUAAAUAUUUUCAGUUUACUUUUUGGUGCUGCACCAAAUGUUAUCUCUGUCAAAAUUAUUGUGUGCUGACCAACUUCAGUCUGAGGCAAGGGCUGCUGGCCUGCAAAUACCUAAGUACAGGGCUACUGAGCUUAUAAAAGAUCAAUGAAUUAAGAAAUGCUGACUUAGUUGAGCUACUUAUACUUAAGUCCACCAGCAAUAAGCUCAUAAGAGAUCAAGGAAUUAAGAAAUGCUGCCCUAGUUGAGUACAUCCAUGGACCUGGGCUGAUUAUUAUUAUGCCCUUGUGUGUGUAGAAAAAGAAAGACUUCUCACUCAUUCACACAUACACACAUGCAACUUCCUUCACAAAAAGUGCAUUCUUUGGGUAUGUAAUGAAGUGAGCAUCUUAUGUGUAGUAAAAGAAAGACCUCUCAUUCACUCACUCACACUCACACACACACACACACACAUACACACGCAUGCAACUUCCCUCACAAACAGUGCAUUCCUUGGGCAUGUAAUGAAAUGCGUGUCUCCACUUAGAACACGUAUAUUCAACUUCUCUGGCAACAUUUACAGGUCUAGGAAAAUAGCCUCAUCGUAGUAUAAAACAUCGUGAAAGAAUAUCAUCUGAAGACCAACCAGGCGGCAACACACAGCAGCGUACUAGUGUAUAGGGAGGCCUCGGAAACACACCACCAACGGCCACUGAGACAACCACCACAGGGAGGCCACUUAGGACCACAGUCACGACAUACAACAACCGACACACCAGCUUCCACACCACACCGAGGCUCCCAAAUUAAACAUGUUAUUAAGGGCACAGGGUCAUAACACACAUUGCCAUCCUAACACCCAUAUCAGGUUUGAGUCAUUAGGGUCAUAACACACACUGCCUGAUGACAAGUUAGGGUCGGAAGGUCACACACUACCUGAUGAUACGUUAGGAUCAGAGGGUCAUAACACACACUGCCAUCCUAACAUCCAUAUCUGACUCCUGGAAUACAUGUUAGGGUCGGAGGGUCAUAACACACACUGCCUGAUGAUAAGUUAGGGUCACAGGGUCAUAACACACACCAUCCGAACACCCCAAAAUAUAUGUUAAGAGCAGCCAGUUAGGAGGUCAAAGGUCAUAACUCAACUGCCACCCCAUUCAGUUACCUUCCCUAGAUAUGCCAUCCACUGGGUUCUAAUAUUUGUAAGUAGUUGUUUUCUUUCUUAAUAAUAAAAAAUAAAGAUGAAAAAAUUGCAUCUGCCACGCUUCCUGUCAUUCUGUGUCUGUGUGUGUGUGUGUGUGUGUGUGUGUGUGUGUGUGUGUCUAUGUUUUCAAAAUAUUUUCACUCUCUUCCUUCCAUUUAUAUUUAUUUUAAAGUAAUUAUUUUGUUCCUUAAUUGUGUCCUCUGUAAAGCUGUCUUGUUCACUGAUGCACAUUUCUUGGUCCAGCGAACACACACACACACACACACACACACACACACACAGACAAGGAAGCUACAGGAUGAGAUUAUAUCCUACAAAAUAAAUAUAAGUUAUGCAGAAAGACUAGAAAAAUACAUCUGCUGACAUUAGAGUUAAGAAGAUGAGAUUGUCACAGAGAUUCAACAACUAAUCAUUGGAAUACUUUACCAAACAAAAGAGGAAAGAAGAAAAAGAAAGUUAAUAAGUCAUCAAUGGAAUACUUUACCAAAUGAAACAAGAAGAGGAAAAAGAGAUUGUCACAGAGAGUUAACAAGUCAUCAAUGGAAUACUUUACCAAAUGAAACAAGAAGAAGAGGAAAAAGAGAUUGUCAUAAAGAGUUAACAAGUCAUCAAUGGAAUACUUUACCAAAUGAAACAAGAAGAAGAGGAAAAAGAGAUUGUCAUAAAGAGUUAACAAGUCAUCAAUGGAAUACUUUACCAAAUGAAACAAGAAGAAGAAGAGGAAAAAGAGAUUGUCACAGAGUUAACAAGUCAUCAAUGGAAUACUUUACCAAAUGAAACAAGAAGAAGAAGAGGAAAAAGAGAUUGUCACAGAGUUAACAAGUCAUCAAUGGAAUACUUUACCAAAUGAAACAAGAAGAAGAGGAAAAAGAGAUUGUCACAGAGAGUUAACAAGUCAUCAAUGGAAUACUUUACCAAAUGAAACAAGAAGAGGAAAAAAGAGAUUGUCACAGAGAGUUAACAAGUCAUCAAUGGGAUACUUUACCAAAUGAAACAAGAAGAGGAAAAAGAGAUUGUCACAGAGAGUUAACAAGUCAUCAAUGGAAUACUUUACCAAAUGAAACAACAAGAAAAAGAGGAAAAAGAGAUUGUCACAGAGAGUUAACAAGUCAUCAAUGGAAUACUUUACCAAAUGAAACAAGAAGAAGAGGAAAAAGAGAUUGUCACAGAGA